GACAUACUCCCUCCGUUCGGAAUUACUUGUCUUGGAAAUGGAUGUAUCUAGAACUAAAAUACAUCUAGAUACAUCCAUUUCUGCGACAAGUAAUUCCGAACGGAGGGAGUAUAUU
rfam:Triticum aestivum genome assembly, contig: Triticum_aestivum_CS42_TGACv1_scaffold_002205_1AL